rnacentral:rRNA from 1 species
AUUGAACGCUGGCGGCAUGCCUUACACAUGCAAGUCGAACGGCAGCACGGGAGCAAUCCUGGUGGCGAGUGGCGAACGGGUGAGUAAUACAUCGGAACGUGCCCAGUAGUGGGGGAUAACCCGGCGAAAGCGGACUAAUACCGCAUACGACCUACGGGUGAAAGCAGGGGAUACGCAAGACCUUGCGCUAUCGGAGGCGGCCGAUGUCAGAUUAGCUAGUUGGUGGGGAAAAGCCCACCAAGGCGACGAUCUGUAGCUGGUCUGAGAGGACGGACCAGCCACACUGGGACUGAGACACGGCCCAGACU